rnacentral:lncRNA from 1 species
AUGGAGGAGGAUGAUGAAGAUGGAGGACAGGAGCACCAGCAUCCACAGCAUCCUGAGGAAACAUCAACAGAGGACAGAGACUUCUAUUCACCAAAACAAUACAGGAGCACCAGCAUCCACAGCAUCCUCAGGAUGAAACAUCACCAGAGGACAGAAAGACUUCUAUUCACCAAAACAAUCAAUAGUUUUGCUUCAGAGGAGAAUCAGACAGUUCCAGAUGUUCGUCACCAGCACUGCAGUGUUUACACAGACUGCUUUGGUUUCAACUUUCUACAAAAAACUGUUGAAUUUUCAGCUCAUCUUCAUCACUGAGAUGUUUCUUCAUCAGUUCUUCAUACAGACUGACACAGCUCACACAUGGAGAAGAUGAUUUAUGGAAUAUGACAUUUAGAUUUUUCCUUUUCUCAACAGUAUGAUGCAUACAUCCCAACCCAAAUUUCAUGCAUUUUUUUGGCGUAACUUGAGCCAAUUUCUAUCAAUAAAUUGCUAAUGUAUUAUUGUUAUUGACUAUUA